CUAGGCUCGGGCUGGACCCUGAUGCGGUUCGAGUGCCCCAAGCACGCCCACUCGGCUGCUAUGGAUCACUCGUUGCCGCUCGUGCAUUCGGAUGCGGAACGCUAAGCGAUGCCGGGGCGCGCCCAGCAGCCCCCGCAUGACCCUAAACAACGAGCGAAACUUCGCUCCCCGAGAAUGACCACCGCGCGCGCUCGCUCUUCCAUCCAACCGUUCGCUCGGCGAUGGGAUCUA
rnacentral:misc_RNA from 1 species